UCCCUGGUGGACCCUAGUGGUUAGGCCUUGUUGCUGCACCAAUGCGGCCCGGGUUCGAUUCCCAGCCAUGGGA